AGUCAAACGAGGCGAACCGGGGGAACUGAAACAUCUCAGUACCCCGAGGAAAAGAAAUCAACCGAAAUUCCCCCAGUAGCGGCGAGCGAACGGGGAGCAGCCCAGAGUCAACAUCAAUAUUUAUCGUAGGAGAAGGGUCUGGAAAGGCCGGCAAUAAAGGGUGAUAGCCCCGUAUCUGAAACGGUAAGUGUUGUGAACUCGAAGAGUAGGGCGGGACACGUGUUAUCCUGUCUGAAUAUGGGGGGACCAUCCUCCAAGGCUAAAUACUCCUGACUGACCGAUAGUGAACCAGUCCCGUGAGGGAAAGGCGAAAAGAACCCCGGCGAGGGGAGUGAAAUAGAACCUGAAACCGUGUACGUACAAGCAGUGGGAGCACCCGAAAGGGUGUGACUGCGUACCUUUUGUAUAAGGGGUCAGCGACUUAUAUUCUGUAGCAAGGUUAACCGCAUAAGGGAGCCGUAGGGAAACCGAGUCUUAACUGGGCGUUAAGUUGUAGGGUAUAGACCCGAAACCCGGUGAUCUAGCCAUGGGCAGGUUGAAGGUUGGGUAAC
rnacentral:rRNA from 1 species